AUGGAGGCCGGCCGGAUCGGUGUGGCGCGGCACACCACACCGGAGCUUGAUGCUGUGCUGGUCGUCGACAACGACGCAACUCCGACGGGACCUAGACGCCCAAGAUCUGACCCCCCAUCCUUCCUUCCUUGUGUUCACGGAACGACAACGGCAAGGGGACGACCGAUGUGCGUGGUGGACCAGGAGGUGGAGAACCGUCUCGCCCUCCUUGUUCACAUCACCUCCCUUUGCUUUCCCUUGGACACUUGGAGAGAGAGAAGGAAGAUGGCGGACGAGGGGAUGGCCAAUUGCAUCGACAUCAUCCUCGCCAUCAUCCUGCCGCCGCUCGGCGUCAUCCUCAAGUUCGCCUGUGGGGUGAGUUUCCCGAGCUUUGUCCCGGUCCCGUGCUAG
rnacentral:rRNA from 1 species